UUAAUCGGAAUUACUGGGCGUAAAGCGUGCGUAGGUGGCAUGUUAAGUCAGAUGUGAAAGCCCUGGGCUUAACCUGGGAACGGCAUUUGAAACUGGCAAGCUAGAGUUGAGUAGAGGGGGGCGGAAUUUCCGGUGUAGCGGUGAAAUGCGUAGAUAUCGGAAGGAACACCCGUGGCGAAGGCGGCUCCCUGGACUCAAACUGACGCUGAGGUACGAAAGCGUGGGUAGCAAACAGGAUUAGAUACCCUGGUAGUCCACGCCCUAAACGAUGCCAUCUAGGUGUUGGGGAAGGAGACUUCCUUAGUACCGUAGCUAACGCGUGAAGUUGGCCGCCUGGGGAGUACGGUCGCAAGAUUAAAACUCAAAGGAAUUGACGGGGACCCGCACAAGCGGUGGAUGAUGUGGAUUAAUUCGAUGCAAUGCGAAAAACCUUACCUACCCUUGACAUGUCCGGAAUCCUGCUGAGAGGUGGGAGUGCUCGAAAGAGAGCCGGAACACAGGUGCUGCAUGGCUGUCGUCAGCUCGUGUCGUGAGAUGUUGGGUUAAGUCCCGCAACGAGCGCAACCCUUGUCAUUAGUUGCCAUCAUUUAGUUGGGCACUCUAAUGAGACUGCUCGGUGACAAANCCGGAGGAAGGUGGGGAUGACGUCAAGUCCUCAUGGCCCUUAUGGGUAGGGCUUCACACGUCAUACAAUGGUCGGUACAGAGGGUCGCCAACCCGCGAGGGGGAGCCAAUCUCACAAAGCCGAUCGUAGUCCGGAUUGGAGUCUGCAACUCGACUCCAUGAAGUCGGAAUCGCUAGUA
rnacentral:rRNA from 1 species